CCUUCAUUAAGAUUUAAAGUGUAUGACUUUCGUUCUUCUGAGUCUGAUGAAGCCAAACUUCCUGUUCUGAGAGGG
ensembl:snoRNA Small nucleolar RNA SNORD59